CGGGGAGAGAGACAUAGAGACACGUUUGAUGACUCCCUUUGCAUUCCAGAGCAUUGGCAUUCCACACCCCAGAAGUGCUGCAGCUUCUAUUUGUGUCUCUCUCCCCCCCCCCUGGUAUCUGGUGGACCAGGGCAGCUAUGUAUAUAUAUAACGACCCACUCCCUCCCCCACCUAGGCUAUAGAUGAUGGGAGCAGGAGUGGGCAUUUGACCCAUCCUGAGCAAAUCAGAUUCUCACACUAGACAAUCUGAAUAGAGAGGCAGAUGCCAAAGUCAGGAUGGUGUUGGGAAAUGAAACAAUGGGUCACUUGGAGUUGGGGUCAAGGUCAGAGCCAUGAACACUGAGGCCACAGCCGAGGCUUGACCCUGGCUGUGGGGGAGCAGAACCGUGUGCUUUACAGAGGCCAAGUGCUUUUAGAGGAUGACAUUAUGAGGUCCCAGGGAGCACACGGGCACAGAGAAGCAGAGAGGAGUUGAUCCUGUGACACCAGAGAUGGAGAGAGUGACGGCCUGGCCAUGUUUCCACUUUCUAAAAUUGUGCUUUGUGAAAAGCCACUUUACACAGAUCCCCUUUUCUUGAAGCUAAGUUGAGCGGGUUCCUGUUCUGGGCAACCAGAUUAUUUCCAAGACAGAAAUUGGCACCAGAAGAACAGUUGAAAACCCCAGACCAUCAAAGAAAAUGUUGGACCUGGCUGGGGAGGUCCUCAGGGUGUGCCAGGUAGUGGGGAUUCCUGGAUCCCCAGAGUCUCCAGGAAUGAACUAGACAGGAAGCUCUUUCAUGUUCUCAGCAACUUAUAUCACAAGAAACAAUCAAAACAGGCCUGGGGCAAACCGGGUUUACACCACAGCAGAGAUCUGCCACCUCUAAGGGAAUCCCUCAGGGCUGCAUACAGAAGAUGCCAGCACCAGCUGCAGGCGAGGACUGCUAUGGCUCUUCAGCCCCAUGACAGGAGAAGCCUCCCCAGUGCCCAGGGAGCAGAACUGGGGACAGUCACAUCUGAUCAAGGAACUCACGCCACAGCCAAGGAGGUGGCAGGAUGGUGAGGAUUCACACCUGGACCAGACUGAGAUAACUAGAGGAGCCCUGGACAUUGCCUGGAGACUGAGGACCUAGGAACUGAAGCUGACAUAGACCUGGGACAUCUCUGCAGUGGCUGGAUGUGACCUUGGGCUCUCUCCUGUUGGGGCAGGUGUGGACAAACAUCAGGAUGGUUGCCAUUGCCCAAAAGCCCCUACUACUCCCACCCCGACCUUCUGUCCUCAUUCACUCUCCAGUGCUUUGUCUGAGGGACACACAGGCAAGAUCCCUAACCUGUACUUGUCAGAAGUGUUCUUGGGCUCAUUUCUACCAUUCUAGAGCCAGGUUUCCCAAACCCAGAACUCUUGACACUUGAGGUUGGAUAAUUGUUGCAGGGGGCUGUCCAGUACACUGUAGGACGUUCAGCAGAACCCUGGCCUCAGAACCCAGUAGAGGCCAGGAGCACAUCGCCCCCUAACUGUGACAACCAAAAUUAUCUCCAGAUAUUGUCACAUGCCCACUGGAGAGCAAAAUCGUCCCUGAUUGGGAACCAUGGAGGCAAUGAGGCAUGUAGCGGUAGUCAGAAAAGAGGGAAGAGAGUUGCAAGGGGAGUGUGCUCAGCUGUGCCCAGGGCUGCAGGGGGGCCCCUAAGAUAGGAGGUGAAAAGUGCCCACUGGGUCUGGUGUUCACUUUCGAUCUUUGAGCAGGUCUGGGUACAGGAAGGGCAGAAGGCAAACUGCAAGGACGUGAGGAUGUGCACUCAGUGAGGGAGGCUUUCCUUCAAGGACUUCUGGCUGCGGAGGGAAGGAGUGAGGUGGGAUACAUGGUUGAGAGAGGGUUCUUUUGAAUAUGGGAGAAACUUCAGCCGUGGGGAAGGAGAUAGCUGAAGAAAGCUUGAAAACGCAAGAAAUAUGUAAAAGAAUGAGGUAGAUCCUGCAGACUGUACUGGAGGCACGUCCAUGGUACUGUUCAAUGAAAAAGAUGUCCUAUGACAGGAUCCCUUUUGUUUUUUGUAAAAUAAAAUACCCCCUAUAAUUCUGUAAGUGUGUAUAUGUAUGGUAUGUAGAUAUAUAGGUUUAUGUUUGCUUUAUAUUACGGAUCUAAAGUUGAGUAAGAUAGAAAAGGUGAGGAAAACCUUUUUUUCCUUCAGAAAAAUGAAGUAGGGUAGGAGCAGUAAGAUAGAGGGCUUUUGCUUCUUUAUAUACUUCUGUGUUGUGAAAGCAAAAUAAUUAAAUGUUCACAAAUAUACAAAAAGGAAAAGGAAGUUAAUUUACUGACUUGGCUAGGUUUGGAAAGGCCACCUCUUCCUCUAUGACAAAGGAGGGGAGAGCAGAGACUGAUCUGUGUUACAAGGGGGUGGGAAGACAAGAGGGCUCCUGCCUGUUUGUCCCUUAGACAAAGCACCUGAGAGUGAAUGAGGACAGCAGGUCUGGGUAGGGCUGUGGGCUUUUGGGCAAUGGCAGAUUUAGGAAUAACUGGGGGUGGAGAGUCAGGGAGGGGAAGGAAAGGCUCAUCAAGCUGCACAGAGGACUCCAUUGUCCAUUGGGAUAGGGUUCAACUGAAAGAAAGCCAAAGGGUAAAGCAGUG
ensembl:lncRNA